GAUGAACGCUGGCGGCGUGCCUAAUACAUGCAAGUCGAGCGAACAGACGAGGAGCUUGCUCCUCUGACGUUAGCGGCGGACGGGUGAGUAACACGUGGAUAACCUACCUAUAAGACUGGGAUAACUUCGGGAAACCGGAGCUAAUACCGGAUAACAUGUUGAACCGCAUGGUUCAACAGUGAAAGACGGUUUUGCUGUCACUUAUAGAUGGAUCCGCGCCGCAUUAGCUAGUUGGUAAGGUAACGGCUUACCAAGGCGACGAUGCGUAGCCGACCUGAGAGGGUGAUCGGCCACACUGGAACUGAGACACGGUCCAGACUCCUACGGGAGGCAGCAGUAGGGAAUCUUCCGCAAUGGGCGAAAGCCUGACGGAGCAACGCCGCGUGAGUGAAGAAGGUCUUCGGAUCGUAAAACUCUGUUAUUAGGGAAGAACAAAUGUGUAAGUAACUAUGCACGUCUUGACGGUACCUAAUCAGAAAGCCACGGCUAACUACGUG
rnacentral:rRNA from 1 species